rnacentral:rRNA from 1 species
ACUCCUACGGGAGGCAGCAGUGGGGAAUAUUGCACAAUGGGCGCAAGCCUGAUGCAGCCAUGCCGCGUGUAUGAAGAAGGCCUUCGGGUUGUAAAGUACUUUCAGCAGUGAGGAAGGCAGGUACGUUAAUAGCGUGCUUGUUUGACGUUAGCUGCAGAAGAAGCACCGGCUAACUCCGUGCCAGCAGCCGCGGUAAUACGGAGGGUGCGAGCGUUAAUCGGAAUUACUGGGCGUAAAGCGCAUGCAGGUGGUUCGUUAAGUCAGAUGUGAAAGCCCGGGGCUCAACCUCGGAAUUGCAUUUGAAACUGGCGGACUAGAGUCUUGUAGAGGGGGGUAGAAUUUCAGGUGUAGCGGUGAAAUGCGUAGAGAUCUGAAGGAAUACCAGUGGCGAAGGCGGCCCCCUGGACAAAGACUGACGCUCAGAUGCGAAAGCGUGGGAGCAAACAGGAUUAGAUACCCUGGUAGAUA